CCACGCAGUAAACGAUGAUAACUGGGCGUAUGCGAUAUACAGUAUGCUCCUAAGCGAAAGCGUUAAGUUAUCCACCUGGGGAGUACGCCGGCAACGGUGAAACUCAAAGGAAUUGACGGGGGCCCGCACAAGCGGAGGAACAUGUGGUUUAAUUCGAUGAUACGCGAGGAACCUUACCCGGGAUUGAAAUUUAGAUGACGAGUGAUGAAAGUUGCUUUCCCUUCGGGGCAUCUAAGUAGGUGCUGCAUGGUUGU
rnacentral:rRNA from 1 species